rnacentral:rRNA from 1 species
AGUGAACGCUGGCGGUAGGCCUAACACAUGCAAGUCGAACGGCAGCACAGUAAGAGCUUGCUCUUACGGGUGGCGAGUGGCGGACGGGUGAGGAAUACAUCGGAAUCUACUUUUUCGUGGGGGAUAACGUAGGGAAACUUACGCUAAUACCGCAUACGACCUACGGGUGAAAGCAGGGGAUCUUCGGACCUUUCGCGAUUGAAUGAGCCGAUGUCGGAUUAGCUAGUUGGCGGGGUAAAGGCCCACCAAGGCGACGAUCCGUAGCUGGGCUGAGAGGAUGAUCAGCCACACUGGAACUGAGACACGGUCCAGACUCCUACGGGAGGCAGCAGUGGGGAAUAUUGGACAAUGGGCGCAAGCCUGAUCCAGCCAUACCGCGUGGGUGAAGAAGGCCUUCGGGUUGUAAAGCCCUUUUGUUGGGAAAGAAAAGCAGCAGGUUAAUACCCCGCUGUUCUGACGGUACCCAAAGAAUAAGCACCGGCUAACUUCGUG